rnacentral:rRNA from 1 species
UACAGAGGUCUCAAGCGUUGUUCGGAUUCAUUGGGCGUAAAGGGUGCGUAGGCGGCGCGGUAAGUCGGGUGUGAAAUCUCGGAGCUUAACUCCGAAACUGCAUUCGAUACUGCCGUGCUUGAGGACUGGAGAGGAGACUGGAAUUUACGGUGUAACGGUGAAAUGCGUAGAUAUCUGGAGGAACACCGGUGGCGAAGGCGGCAUCCUGGACCGGUAUUGACGCUGAGGCGCGAAAGCCAGGGGAGCAAACGGG